rnacentral:miRNA from 1 species
GGUUUUUCUCUUUGGUUAUCUAGCUGUAUGAGUGUAUGUGAUAUCAUAAAGCUAGAGAACCGAAUGUAAAAACCCGC